rnacentral:rRNA from 1 species
GGCGGACGGGUGAGGUAACGCGUGGGGAACCUGCCCUGUACCGGGGGAUAGCAGCCGGAAACGGCUGAUAAUACCGCAUAAGCGCACGAAUGUCGCAUGACAUGGUGUGAAAAACUCCGGUGGUAUAGGAUGGACCCGCGUCUGAUUAGCCGGUUGGUGGGGUAAAAGCCUACCAAAGCGAAGAUCAGUAGCCGAGUUGAGAGACUGACCGGCCACAUUGGGACUGAGACACGGCCCAGACUCCUACGGGAGGCAGCAGAG